UGGGGACCAUAUGUCAUGAAGAUUGUACAGU
rnacentral:piRNA from 1 species